rnacentral:rRNA from 1 species
AUCGCAUGAUCCGGUGUGAAAAACUCCGGUGGUAUGAGAUGGACCCGCGUCUGACUAGCCAGUUGGCAGGGUAACGGCCUACCAAAGCGACGAUCAGUAGCCGACCUGAGAGGGUGACCGGCCACAUUGGGACUGAGACACGGCCCAAACUCCUACGGGAGGCAGCAGUGGGGAAUAUUGCACAAUGGGGGAAACCCUGAUGCAGCGACGCCGCGUGAGCGAAGAAGUAUUUCGGUAUGUAAAGCUCUAUCAGCAGGGAAGAAGAAUGACGGUACCUGACUAAGAAGCACCGGCUAAAUACGUGCCAGCAGCCGCGGUAAUACGUAUGGUGCAAGCGUUAUCCGGAUUUACUGGGUGUAAAGGGAGCGCAGGCGGUGCGGCAAGUCUGAUGUGAAAGCCCGGGGCUUAACCCCGGUACUGCAUUGGAAACUGUCGUACUAGAGUGUCGGAGGGGUAAGUGGAAUUCCUAGUGUAGCGGUGAAAUGCGUAGAUAUUAGGAGGAACACCAGUGGCGAAGGCGGCUUACUGGGCGAUAACUGACGCUGAGGCUCGAAAGCGUGGGGAGCAAACAGGAUUAGAUACCCUGGUAGUCCACGCCGUA